rnacentral:lncRNA from 1 species
CCUGCAGAAGAAGAUGGCCUUGAAUUUGGUGCAGGAGAUGUCCUGACUGACGAAGGCGAUGCUUUUGGACUAGUGAAAGGCGAUGCUUUUGGAUUAGUUAAAGGUGAAACUGCUGGAGAUGCCUUAGAAGCGGAGGCUAUCUUAACUUUAUGAGCACUUGAGCUCUGGCCAUUAGGAGAACGUACAUCAGAAACUUGCCGCCCUGAUCGUCCAUCCUGCUUCUGAGAUGAUGAAUUUGACUGACUCUGCUUUGACGCGGUACUAC